rnacentral:lncRNA from 1 species
CAUGUACCCUAAAACUUAGAGUAUAAUUAAAAAAAAAACAAAAAACAAAAAAACAAAAAAAAAAAAACUGAAGAAUACCAAGAUAAAAAAAAAAAAAAAAUACCUGGUACAGCAUAAUUUAUAAAGAAAACAUUUUAUUUCUUAUUUGUAUGGAAUCUGAGAAGUCCCAGGUUGAGGAGUUCUGUCUGGUGAGAACCUUCUUGCUGGUGGGGAGUCUCUGAAGAAUCCUGGGGUGAUGCAGGGUAUUGUAAGAAUGGGGCUGAGUGGGCUAACAUGCUAUUUCAGACCCCUCUUCCUCUUCUUAUAAAGCCACCAUUUCCCCUCCUGUGAUAACCCAUUAAUCCAUUAACUCACACAUAGAGUAAUCCAUUCAUAAACGCAGAGGUCUCAUGACUCAAUUGCCUCUUUAAGGUCCCACCUCUCAAUACUGGCACUUUGGGGAUGAAGUUGCAACAUGAAUUUUGGAGAUGACAUUCAUACCACAGCAGAAAGGAAAAGGUUUCUAGAACAUUUUGACUACAGACAUUUCGUUCUUAAAGAAGUCGUGUUAUACUUAGGUAAUAUUUGUUAGAUUCUUUGAGGAGUGAGAAACGGCUUGAAUUAUCAAUAUGCUUUCCCAGUUUGCUUUAUAAAACCAAGUGGCUAUUCUCUCAUUAGUGAAAAUCAUAAAACUCUGCACACUUAUGUCCCUGUGGGUAUAUACGCUUUACUUUUCUCUUAUCCCUUAUUUCCUCCUUGAUUCUAUGAGACUAGUUAUGGGUAAUGCUUGCUCCAUAGAAGUUUUAAUCGAAUAGCUUUCUCACUUUGAUUUGCCUCUAGAUAAUAGUUUGCUUUCUUAAUUAAUGCUGUAAAAACACACAUUAUGAUCUUUACCUGAAAGAUGUUUUGAUUAACGCCAGUACCUAUGGUUUUGGUUGACUAAAGUACUCUUUUCCCCCUGCAGAGAAGCUGUGCUCCGUUAAGCAGCUGCUUCAUUUCACCCCAGAGGUUGCUGCAUUUUGCUAACUGUAAAAAUAAUGUUUUGUUUAUGAUACAAUUUGUAAGGAGUUCUUCAUAUCAAUGGAAAUAAAAUUCCCUCCCACCCCCAACCCACCCACCCAUUCUCUGAGAAAGAUAAGCAUCUCUCUCUCACUCUGGCUCUUCCUUUUUGCUCUUUCUCAUUCGAUUUCCCCCUUCCUCUCAAAUGCAGUCUCUGUGUCUGUAUAACUUCACAUAAUAGAAUGCCUAUGAGCACUCUUGAAAAACUACUCGUCAUAAUAAUGAUAAUGAGAAUAGUGGCAAUUUAUUGAGCAAUUCCUAUGUGCUUGGCUUUAUUAUAAGGUUUUUACAUGGCAUUGUCUCAAUUGUUAACAAACAGUCCUUUAAAGUAUAAAAUAUUAUUAUUCCCCUUGUAUAGAGGAAACCAGCUGAGGUUCAGAGAGGUUAUACAGCAACUAAGCAGAACAGCUGCGCUGUGCCUGCUAUGAAUCCAUCCAUUCUUUGAAUUGAAAUUAAGCAUUCUCAUUCAGUACAUGGCUACUAGUCACUUGAAAUAACAGACACUAACAAAUAUUAGCCAAUGUCCAUAUAGUAGUUAGAGUUUUUGUUCUAAAGUGCAAAUUGGAUCAUGACACUCUCCCACUUAAAAUUAUUCAGUUGACCCCAGUUUCCUUCAAAAUAAAGUUCACUUUUGUUGUGUAUCCUGUCUUCAUGGUCUGGUUCUAGCUUAUGAUCUGGAUUCCAUCUCUCCUAAUCCCUAUCCUGCUUAAGUCAGCCUUAUUGCCAGGGCCUUGUAUAUUUCCCUUUGUCUAUUUGCAAUAUACUUCUUUCCCUACCCAGUCUGGAUCCUACUCCUCUUGGAGUCUGAACUAGGAAAAUUCUACUUCUGGAUGGCCUUCUUGACAGUCCCAGCCUCCCCUAUUUGGUUCUGUCUUCAUGCUCUUGUAAUCCCAAGCUUGCAUAUCUCUUUAUUUGCUUACUGGAUUUUUCCCUCUUACUGCUAUCCUGGGGGAAGGAGCAGCUCCUUCCUCAUUACGUUUCCAUCCACAAAGUGCCUGUCAUUGAGUAACAAUAAUAAAAAGAUAUGUUUAACAAAUGAAUAAACACAGAACUAAGGCUGAACUUAAAUAAUACCCGGGGACAAAUUUAAGAGUUAACAUAUGUUAAUGCUUGUCCCUUCAAACUUACCUACAGGAAAAUGAUUUCUGUCUCCUUAUAAGUCAGUGCAUAGUGGUUGGUUUAGGGAUGGCAUGAGAACAAAACCUGGCAAAAGAACUAGGUUAAUUUGGCUAGAACUAUUGGGAACUAUCGGGAAGAAUAGUUCUUCCCGAUAGUUCUACAGAAAACUUUUUCUGUAAAGAACUAGGUAGUAAUACUUUUUGCUUUCUCAAGGGCAGUAAGCUGAGGAAAUAUAGAUCUGGAUCUGUUGAUGUGUUCCAAAUCAAAAAGCCUGGUCAAAAAGAAAAAUUAUAUAUAUAUAUAUAAAAUAUAUAUUUAUAAUGUAUAUUUAAUAUAUAUUAUAUAUUAAUAUAUAAUGUAUAUACAUAUAAAAUUGCCUAAGUCAAUCUAUGUUGGGGUUCUACAACUUUUUGCUGAAAUAAUCUUGACUAACACCCUGCUUUGAUUUAUGCUUUCAUAUCUCUUCCCUAUUCCGCCCUUCUGUCAAUCAUUAAAUGUUCGCCUGAGUUAUUCUGAAAUGUAGAUGUGACUAUGUAACUUCCCUUCCUAAAGUGCCUCGGUGAUUCCUCAUGACUUUUCAAUGACUGCUUUGGUGUUGAAUAGAACCCCGGUCUGCCUAUCCAGUUCCAUUUAAUGUUACCUCCUCAUGGGCCACAGUUCUAAGUCUACGCUUGACAUUCGCUGUACAUAACAUAAUGUUUCACUUUUCCGGGGCUUGGCAGAUACACAUUACUUUCUGUCUGAGUAGCGUUCUCACCCAGACUUGUGAAUGUGUGUUCUUACAUUAAGACCUUGAUGAAAUAUCAUCACUUCCCUAUACUUCCACUUAGUUGCUUCAUCUUUUUCUCUCAUGGAAAAUUUAAACCUGCUUCUUCUAGCAUUCAUUGCACUGCAUGGUAAUUGUUUAAUCCUGUGACUUUCUCUCCGCAGAAUAUUUGAUCUUAGUUAUGAUGUCUUGUUCAUCUUUAUAAACAUCAUGUAUAACACAUUCUUGAGACACAGUAAGUGAUCAAUAAUUGUACAGAGAAUAAAUAAAUGAAUGCAUCAAGUGAGGUGAUGUUCUUUUUAUUUUAGUGUCAAUAUAAAGCAGGCGACAACUUUACAGAAAAAGGAAAGUUUUUCUGUAAAGGACUAGAUAGUAAAUACUUUUGGCUUGCAGGCCAUACCACCUCUGUCACACUCUCAACUCUGCAUUGAAGAGCAAAAACACCCGUGGACGAUUAAGAAAAUGAAUGGGUGCUGCUAUGCUCCAAGAAAACUUCAUUUAUUAAUUGGGUAACAGGCUAGAUUUGCCCCUGGGCUUUAGUUUGCCAGCCACUAUUAUAAGGGAAAGAGACAGUUUACAGUUCUAAACCCAAAUGUAAAUAUAUUUUGAAAGAGAGGUCUCUGUGUGAAAUAGACAGGGGGUGCCUAGAU